UCAGAUGAACCCGGCUCGGCUGCCAGCAGCCGGCGGAGCGCGCGCAAGGCUGGGGCUCCGAGUGCCGGAGGCAGCUAACACCCCUUCUGUAGAGUUCUUAGAGAUGCCCCUGGCCACGUAGAGUUAGGCGGGGGGCCCUAGAUACGCUCCGCAGACACACUGGCAAGCAUCUACAUACAAUGACUGAGUGAACAGGUCAGACAACAUGGACUCAAGAACCAGCAAUAUGCUCUAUCCAACCUUCACCACAUACGACCACAUCAUUACUACCAUGACGGCCCAGUGCUUGGAUGAGAUCAGUUCCUGGCUGAAGCUGAAGCUGAGCAAGACAGAGGCAGAACUUGCUAGAGCAAAUCCUGAAGGGUUGUCUGACGGCUGAAUUCCAGCAGUCUCCAGUACCUCCAUAGAUAUGAACAAGCCUGCUGUGCUGGAUGGCUCCAAGAACAGAAAUUAUCAGGUAUCCUGAGAUAAUAUAUGCUACAUCCUAUGACCCCUCCUAACUGGCACCUGGCCUUUGGACUGAGAAAAGAAGUCAAAACUGUGAAAUCAGAGACUUUGGACAUCAAUUUGAAUAAAGAAAACCUAAGACA